rnacentral:rRNA from 1 species
AGAUAGGCUAUAGAACACCAAUUGCGGAAGGCAGCAUGCUGACGUAUAACUGACGCUGAGGCACGUAAGCGUGGGGAGCGAACAGGAUUAGAUACCCUGGUAGUCCACGCCGUAAACUAUGAACACUCGCUGUUGGCAAUACACAGUCAGCGGCUGAGCGAAAGCGUUAAGUGUUCCACCUGGGAAGUACGAUCGCAAGGUUGAAACUCAAAGGAAUUGACGGGGGCCCGCACAAGCGGAGGAGCAUGUGGUUUAAUUCGAUGAUACGCGAGGAACCUUACCUGGGCUUAAAUGUAUAUUGACGUACUGAGAAAUCAGUAUUUCUUCGGACAAUUUACAAGGUGCUGCAUGGUUGUCGUCAGCUCGUGCCGUGAGGUGUCGGGUUAAGUCCCAUAACGAGCGCAACCCCCACUUCUAGUUACCAGCAUUUCGGAUGGGGACUCUAGAGGAACUGCCUACGCAAGUAGAGAGGAAGGUGGGGAUGACGUCAAAUCAGCACGGCCCUUAUGUCCAGGGCUACACACGUGCUACAAUGGCCGGUACAGAGGGCAGCUACAUAGCAAUAUGAUGCUAAUCUCAAAAGCCGGUCUCAGUCCGGAUUGGAGUCUGCAACUCGACUCCAUGAAGCUGGAUUCGCUAGUAAUCGCACAUCAGCAAUGGUGCGGUGAAUACGUUCCCGGGCCUUGUACACACCGCCCGUCAAGCCAUGGAAGUUGGGGGUACCUGAAGUCGAUUGCCGUAAGGCGUUGCCUAGGGUAAACCAA